GGCCUUGCGCUAUCAGAUGAGCCUAGGUCGGAUUAGCUAGUUGGUGAGGUAAUGGCUCACCAAGGCGACGAUCCGUAACUGGUCUGAGAGGAUGAUCAGUCACACUGGAACUGAGACACGGUCCAGACUCCUACGGGAGGCAGCAGUGGGGAAUAUUGGACAAUGGGCGAAAGCCUGAUCCAGCCAAGGCGCGUGUGUGAAGAAGGUCUUCGGAUGUAAAUCAAAUGAGUGGGAGGAAGGGCAGUUACCUAAUAC
rnacentral:rRNA from 1 species